GUGGCAACUGACAUUUAAUGUGGAUAAGUGCAAGAUAAUGAAUCUUGGACGUAAAAACCCAAGGGCAGAGUACAGAAUAUUUGAUAGAGUUCUAACCUCAACAUAUGAGGAAAGGGAUUUAGGGGUGUUUAUUUCUGAUGACUUAAAGGUAGGCAGACAAUGUAAUAGAGCAGCAGGAAAUGCUAGCAGAAUGCUUGGUUGUAUAGGGAGAGGUAUUAGCAGUAGAAAGAGGGAAGUGCUCAUGCCAUUGUACAGAACACUGGUGAGACCUCACUUGGAGUAUUGUACACAGUACUGGAGACCGUAUCUUCAGAAGGAUAUUGAUACCUUAGAGAGGGUUCAAAGAAGGGC